GUGGUUGUAGCUCAGUGGUAGAGUGCUUACCUAGCAUGUGUGAGGCACUGGGUUCCAUUCUCAGCACCACA
rnacentral:tRNA from 1 species